AUACGUAGGUGGCAAGCGUUAAUCGGAAUUACUGGGCGUAAAGCGUGCGCAGGCGGUUUUGUAAGACAGAGGUGAAAUCCCCGGGCUCAACCUGGGAACUGCCUUUGUGACUGCAAGGCUAGAGUACGGCAGAGGGGGAUGGAAUUCCGCGUGUAGCAGUGAAAUGCGUAGAUAUGCGGAGGAACACCGAUGGCGAAGGAAAUCCCCUGGGCCUGUACUGACGCUCAGGCACGAAAGCGUGGGGAGCAAACAGGAUUAGAUACCCUGGUAGUCCACGCCCUAAACGAUGUCAACUGGUUGUUGGGUCUUCAUUGACUCAGUAACGAAGCUAACGCGUGAAGUUGACCGCCUGGGGAGUACGGCCGCAAGGUUGAAACUCAAAUGAAUUGACGGGG
rnacentral:rRNA from 1 species